UACGAAGGGUGCAAGCGUUAAUCGGAAUUACUGGGCGUAAGGCGCGCGUAGGUGGUUCAGCAAGUUGGAUGUGAAAGCCCUGGGCUCAACCUGGGAACUGCAUCCAAAACUACUGAGCUAGAGUACGGUAGAGGGUAGUGGAAUUUCCUGUGUAGCGGUGAAAUGCGUAGAUAUAGGAAGGAACACCGGUGGCGAAGGCGCCUUACUGGCUCGGAACUGACGCUGAGGUGCGAAAGCGUGGGGAUCAAACAGGAUUAGAUACCCCGGUAGU
rnacentral:rRNA from 1 species